rnacentral:snoRNA from 1 species
GCAUGGGUUUGGAUUUAUGACAGGCCCGUCCCCCUGGGCCUGUCAUAGUACCCCAUGCCAGAGCAAACUGUCCCUGAACCAUUGCCUGGCCUCUGUGCCUGUAGGCUGCUGGCACUGAAGUGGGUUGCACAGUG